rnacentral:rRNA from 1 species
GACGAACGCUGGCGGCGUGCUUAACACAUGCAAGUCGAACGGAAAGGCCCUGCUUUUGUGGGGUGCUCGAGUGGCGAACGGGUGAGUAACACGUGAGUAACCUGCCCUUGACUUUGGGAUAACUUCAGGAAGCUGGGGCUAAUACCGGAUAGGAGCUCCUGCUGCAUGGUGGGGGUUGGAAAGUUUCGGCGGUUGGGGAUGGACUCGCGGCUUAUCAGCUUGUUGGUGGGGUAGUGGCUUACCAAGGCUUUGACGGGUAGCCAGCCUGAGAGGGUGACCGGCCACAUUGGGACUGAGAUACGGCCCAGACUCCUACGGGAGGCAGCAGUGGGGAAUAUUGCACAAUGGGCGGAAGCCUGAUGCAGCAACGCCGCGUGCGGGAUGACGGCCUUCGGGUUGUAAACCGCUUUCGCCUGUGACGAAGCGUGAGUGACGGUAAUGGGUAAAGAAGCACCGGCUAACUACGUG